rnacentral:rRNA from 1 species
UACAGAGGGGGCAAGCGUUGUUCGGAAUUACUGGGCGUAAAGGGCGCGUAGGCGGCCUGCUAAGUCGAACGUGUAAUCCCUGGGCUCAACCCAGGAACUGCGUCCGAUACUGGUUGGCUUGAAUCCGGGAGAGGGACGUGGAAUUCCAGGUGUAGCGGUGAAGUGCGUAGAUAUCUGGAGGAACACCGGUGGCGAAGGCGACGUCCUGGACCGGCAUUGACGCUGAGGCGCGAAAGCCAGGGGAGCGAACGGG